rnacentral:rRNA from 1 species
AUUGAACGCUGGCGGCAUGCCUUACACAUGCAAGUCGAACGGUAACGCGGGGCAACCUGGCGACGAGUGGCGAACGGGUGAGUAAAGCAUCGGAACGUGCCCAGUAGUGGGGGAUAGCCCGGCGAAAGCCGGAUUAAUACCGCAUACGACCUACGGGUGAGAGGGGGGGAUCGCAAGACCUCUCGCUAUUGGAGCGGCCGAUGUCAGAUUAGGUAGUUGGUGGGGUAAAGGCCUACCAAGCCGACGAUCUGUAGCUGGUCUGAGAGGACGACCAGCCACACUGGGACUGAGACACGGCCCAGACUCCUACGGGAGGCAGCAGUGGGGAAUUUUGGACAAUGGGCGCAAGCCUGAUCCAGCCAUGCCGCGUGCGGGAAGAAGGCCUCGGUUGUAACCGCUUUGUC